CUGACUGAAAGGCAACCACAGCAGUGGCAACAGAAAAAAAUGUGAAGGAUACUUCAUUUACCAAGCAAUUUUUUUGUUAGGAGAAAUAGGUUUCCAGUCAACACUCUGUGAUGUGCCUGACCAGAGAAGAAUGGCUUAUGUAAAUCUUUAAAGAGAGUCACUCAGCUGGAUUCAUCAUGUCAGUGAAGCUCCCUAAGAGGCUGAGCUGCAAAAAGAAAAAAUCACCUAAAGACAAUGCCCAGGCAGAGGUCCUAAUUAAACUGGGAUUAGAGGCCUUCUGGACUACACCACUGGACCCAGCAUCUAUGCUGGACAUCAGCACUUGGACUCUGGAGAACCAAACCCCUCUAGAGCCCAAGGAUCUACCAAAUGCUUUCCUUCAACGUCUUUGGCUGCUUAGCCCAGAUGCACGAAGUCCCUGUUGCAAACCUCUGCACAAUGUUCUGAAUAAUGUCAAUAAAUCCCCUGAGGAGAUUAUUGAUGGUAUUGGUGAAGAAAGCAAGUGUGCCAUCAACCCCCUUGAUCUAGUUACAGCUGUAUAUAUGUCUGCCAACACGUUCCUUCAGCAGGAGAUGACUGUGCGCAUGUUGCAAUGCUGUAGUUGUUUUCUGUGGGAAUCUUAGGGAGAAAGAAAAACAACUUCUUGCCUCCUGCAAAUCAACGGCAAGCAAGCUCAUAUUGAUUAACCUAUCAGAGGCUGAGAGGAAUGAGAACAGCAUUGUGGGGUUUGUUGAUCAGAACUUUGAAGAAUACAUGGAACUUUCUGGAGUUUCAGUGCUGCAAGGGGGAGAUUUGAGUCAGGAGCAACUGGCGACGAGGUUGUGUGACACCCUGACAGAUCUGUUAGCAGACAAAUUGAAACUAGUUUCACUUUAAGCAGCAAUGAAAUUAGCAGAAGAGCUAGGCCUUAAUGUAGAUGAAGGGGUGGUCUGUAACAAGGCAAUGGCCACAGUGGAUGAAGUUUUGAAAGGUUUAGAUGAGGGAUCUGCUCAAUUUAGGGAGAAACAGUUUCCUUUGCAAGGACAUUUGUGGAGUAAACUUUGCUGAAAUAGAAAAAGAGGAGAGCAAACAGAGGAAAAAAGGAAAUCAAAGUGAUCCACAACUUCAACAAAAAAAGAAAGACAUCUUGGUUGAGUUGAGCAGUUACAAAAUGACUCCAGCGAUGAAAAUGUUCACUGAUGCGCUUUUCACGACAGAUAAAGUGGAGAGGUCUUAUUUCCUCAGUUGGAUGAAGUUGAGACUUCGAUCGAAGCAAAUCGAAAAACUAAACAGUCCACAAGAUCUAUUCACAAACCUACAGACAGGAAAGAAAGAUGAAAUGCCAGAACAUCAGGAUGAGCUCCAAAAUGGAGCCACUGACUCCCAAACAGACAGUGGUAGUUUCUGCACAGAUUCAACAUUUGAAGAGGAAAGCACUGAAGAGCUGCCUGUAAAAACGGCACUGCAAGUUUCUGAGAAGCAGUUUGAAAUAGGCCAAGAGUUAGAGCAUAUUUUGCAAAAGUCUACAGAAAUGACCGUAGAACCACAGUCACAAUGUAAAGAACAUCUUGAGUCGACACAUGAUCCAGUCAAGGAGCAGCAGUUAUAUCUGACAUCCAACAUAAAAGAGAUUCAGGGUGAAGAACACAUUUCAGAUCGCGUCUUUGAGGACCAAAACCAUAAUUUUGAGUCUGGAGAGAAUAGAGCCUCAAGCUGCCAGUGGAACAAACUAGAUGAACCAGAGCUGACACUAGCUCAGGCAGAUUUGACUUAUUCUGCCAAAGAACAAAUGUGCUUAGAUGUUAGCUUAGAACAUCUGGUAGCCUCAAGAUCACAGCCUAAGGACACUGAUUCAUCCUCGCUGGGGCUUGAGCACUUUUUGCGUGAGAUGGCCCUAAUUUUUGAGCUAACGCAUAUCAGCCCUGGGAGUUGGAGCCCCAAUGUUUUGCGUCUCUCUAGCUUAGCUACAGACCUUCUAAUCUAUGGGAUUCCACUUGAACUAAUGGAUGGAGAUGCCUCACACAUUCCCAUACGCUGGCUGGGCUGUGUCUUUGCAGAGCUCAAACGCCGCCUACCCCAAGAACAGUGCCGGACUCGAGUGCUGACAAACAUUGGAGUACAUCAUGGUAUGAAUGCUGAGGUUCUUUCUGCACUAUUUGGGGUGAAAUUUCCUGAAGGAAAGUGGAGAUCCACUCGAGGGGUUUACAUGGUUGCCUUGUGUCUUCCCGAUAACCUCAGAAUGGAUAAGGAGUGUGAUUUUCUGUUGUUAAUUGAUGUCAAGGUCUUUGCUCAAUGUCUCUUGACAAUAAAAACAUUCUGAUCCACCACAAUGAGAUGGCCACUGUUGCAACAGGCAUGAGUGAUGUUUUAAUGCAAAAUAUCUCAUCACAUGGUGGUACUGAAUUUGAGACUAACUUCACUGUCAUGGUCAAUGCUCUUCUACGCAUCAAAGAAUGUGGCUCCAUGCCCAUUUGCCAACUCCUGGCCCAAGAUGAAGAAAUAAACAGCUUAAUACAAGCAUCACAGUUAAGACGUGUAUCGGAUAUACUUCAGACUGAGACUGGGUACAGAGGAACUAGCAAUGCUGACAACCAGUAUGCAAAGACCAUAAGCUACAUCACCCAUGUCAAAGGGCCUUGGUACAAUAUGUCCCUCUCUGAACCAAUUGAUAAGCAGUAUAGUAAUGCUGUGUUAAAGCUUAAGCUGAACCUGUUUGGGGCAUUGAAGAAGUGUGCAGCUAAGUCUGAAGCCACAGGUCUGCCUGAAUUCAUGAGUCGUUUGUGUGCUAUUUGGGAAGCAGUGAAAACAGAAUCCUUCUCCAUUGGUCUGCAAAAUACUGACAUAGCGUUAGCCUUCUCUUUAAUGUGCACAAAGGUUUCCCAAUGGGAGGACAGUUUCCUGGAAUACAUGGAAAGCUGGCUUAAGGGGGCAACAAAGAAAAUCUUUGCCACAAAGGCAUUAAAUGCUGCAAUCCAAAAUGGCCUUCUGAGCGAGUUGAAUGAUGAAGUCAGAGAGGAAGUCAAAACGGAGGUGGACAAACUUAGUUCAAAAGUAGAGGCCUAUUUGAUAGAAGAUAGUCUUCUACAAAUGAACACAUUCAGGCCAAUCCUAAUGAGCAAUAUGGAUGACCUUCAGGAGCGAAUAACUGAAGAGACAAUACAAAGGUUGGAUGAAGUCAAUGAGAGCCAUCGUUCUUCAACACAGUUGGAAACAUUUGAGACCUUACUGGAAAAAGAAGAAGAAUCAAAGCUACGUGUACUUGUAGAGAACAGCAAGUCAACCAAAGUUCUCUUUCAAGAUACAGAACUAGAAGAGGAGUUUGAGGGUGCAUGGAGUAAGACACUGUCCAACUUUGACUUCAGGCCUUCAGAAACAGAUGAUAUUACUGCAAGAGUGACUCAUAUUCUGAAAGAUAAUCUAAUAAACUGUGGUCUCCAGAAACACAGAAAAAAACUUGAAGUCAUCAUCCAAAAUCAGAAAUCUAGCUUCCAAGUGUUUGAUGAACAUUUUGGAUACCGCAGCAGAUUAAAGCACAUGUUUGAAGACAACAACAGACUGCAGAGGUUAGAAGCUCAACAGGUAGCAUGCAAAAUAAUAGAAGAAUACAAGCAAUUUUUAGCAGAUAAAUUGCGUUUACCAGCAGAUUUCUCUGACAGCUACAUUACAAAACUGUUAGAAAAUGUUGAAAAAGCUUUGAAGGAAAAAUCUAUGCAAAUCAGAUCAACUUUUGAGGUGGAUCUAAAAGUUUAUCUCUGUAGGGCUGCAUGCCAAGACUUUCAAAAACUACAUGACCGCUAUGCCAAAGACAGAGUGCUUCUGACAUGUAUUACUGCAACCAAGAGCACUUACUUGGCAGAGUUUAUCUACCAGUUCAGGAAGAGAGACCAGUGCCAGAGGGUGGCUCAAGCAUUUACUUCCAUGGUCAUCAAACCGACAGUGUUGGAUUACAUCCAUAGACCAUUGGGGAAGCGUAUCAUCGAAGAUCUCCAAAAUAAAGUCCAGCAGUUUCAGUCCCCACGUGCCUUCUUUAAAGCUUGCUGGAGGAAUUGAUAGAAGAGGAUCACUUUGAGAGCUUUCUGGAAUAUUUGCUUUCUUAUGACAACUUCAGAGUGAGGAAAAUUCAGGAGAAAGUGAUGACUCACCUCUCUGAAUCAACCAACUUUAAUAAAUGGAGGCAUCAAAGACUUGGAGAAAUUGUAGGAAAAGUAGCAGCAGCAGUGAGUCAUACAGCAGAAGAUACAAAUGGAGUGCUGAGUGAUACAAAGCCGCUGCUGGAGAGAGUGUGCCUCACUUUAGAUACAGAUGGAGAUGUGGAUGUAAUCAGGGCCCCGCUGGAUGGACCUUUCUUCAGUAUUACCACAAAAUGGGAUUGCUUUGUCACAUGUCUAAUGGAGUUAUUGGCGGCAAUGCGGUUGGACCUGAAUGCAUGGCCCAAGGCAACCUAGGCAUAAGCAAGAGCACACACAAGAUGUCUGUGGCAGACAGGGACCUCCAUUCCCUCUACCCAGACUGGAGCAUCGCCCCUGAGGACCCAAACAGCCAGAUGUCCAGUGCUUACUGGAGGUAUGUCUUGGCGAGGUUCAAUGAGAGGUUUGCAAAGGAAUACGAGCAGGAGCCAGCAGAGAUUCCUGAGGAGUGGGAGAAGAUCACUGAGGCGGAGGCAUUGUCCAGUCUGAGGAAGGGCUUCCUCAGUGAACACUACGAAUUAUAGGACAUGAUUGUAAUUCGCUUUGGAUAAAACUGUCACAAAAAUGUAAUGUAAUGAUGGUCAACAGAUCAAACGGACCAUUCAUUAAAAAUAAUGAUAACUGAUUAGUUUUGAUUUAUUUCUGUUUUUACUACUCUGUGAAUUAUCCCUUUGAAAUAUAUCUAAAAAGUUGAUUCCUUAUUAUCUCACUUUCCUCCACUGCCUACUGAUCUGAAGACAGUGAAGAAUUAUCCGGUCUUCCCAUGCAUUCAAAGCCAACUAAUGACAAAAACCUGUGAUAUAUCAUUUUAAUAUGUGUUUACCUAUAAUUUUAAAAGGAAUAUGUAUGCACUGGGAUUUAGAGAAGGGUAGAACUUGUAAAUUACGUCAUUGCGUCAUACUAAAGUUUUUUUUUCCUGUUGAAUUGCCUCGUCCAUUUGUGUUUGUUUUGAUACAUAAUCACAUGAGUCAAUCUGCCCUGCAGCAAGAUGGAGAAAACAGUUUCACACAGCAGCAGGUUUCCAGAUCCAUAUGAGUGUAAAUAUGGCAGAUUGAUUGAGCACACUGCUCCGUAAAAGAAGGCAGAAUAUAUUUGAUGAAUAAAAAAAUUAUGAUUGCUGAUGGAUAACUGUCUGUACUAGUAUUCAGCUCGGAGGAUGUUCGUUGCUGGGGAUUUUGGC